rnacentral:tRNA from 1 species
AUGAUUGUGCCUGAAAAAGGAUUAUUAUGAUAGAAUAAAUUAUGUAAAUUUAAAUUUUACCUUCAUU